rnacentral:tRNA from 1 species
GCUGAGGUAACAAAGUGGUAAAUGUGACAGAUUUAGGAUUUGUUAUCAAAGUUCGAGUCCUUUUUUCAGUU